GAAUUGGGCAGAAAAACUCACUGACUCUGUAUCCAUGCUGGCCAGAAGCAACAGUCAAAGGAACAAGAAGAUGGCCUCCACCUAAUUUCUACUUUCCAGAUCUAAUGCAAGUGCAUUUCAUUUUUGGACCUUAAUUCAUAUCUUGAAAACUAGAUGUAAAGCAGUUUGCAUUUUUUUUUUAACUUUCCGGCCAGCCUCUGCACACAAGAAGCAUUAGAAUAGUUGUUGAUCAAGACAAUCCAUGGAUUCUACCACACUAUGGCAAGGGCAGUAAAGGGAAACACACCUGAGACCUCUAAGGUUCUGUGACAGGAAUCAGAAUGUUUCUCCUGGGCUCCCCACUCUGCAGGCACAUUGCAGGAUGGAGAAGCUAAAUGAGAUGCAAAUCAUCAGUUGAGAGUGAGGAUAGAAAGAAGUUGUCAGAGUUUGAAAAUUAGAAGAAAGUAUGAGUGUCUAGAAGAAUGGGAGACUGAAUGCACUCGGGAACAAUAAUGAUUGUUGGUGAAAUGCUUCCUACCUCAGUAAAAUCCAGCUUCUAAACGAAUUUCUGUUGGUUUAGAGAGCAACUUGAGGAUUCUGCCCUUGGCACCCUUUGAUUUCCUUGGCAUCUCUCCACAGUCACCAUUUAGAAAACUCCUGGUCGGCAGGAUUUCUCUCCAUCAUACACUCUGAGGAGAUUAAAAAAGGAUUGUAUUACAUUGGCUUGAAAAUGUGAUGGAAAAUAAAAUUUGCUUUACCAAGAAAGAAAGCUUUUGAAACUUGAAUUGUUCCAUAAAGCCCUUAUACAGGGAUAGUUCUUGGGGGGUAAAAUGACAGAUGUGGAAAAAGUUCCUUCUUAUUUGGGUUGCCAGUAAGUAAAUGUCACAGUGUUUAAAAUCACACACACAACUAAAACAAGUUGCAAAACAAUACAAUUAUAUUUAUGUUCUAUAAAAUAUAGGUGUGUAUAUACUUAUAAAGCAAGCUUGGAUUAAGAUCUUAAGAAAGGUCCUGAGCACUAAAGAAGCUUCUGGUACAUAUGAAAUAACAUCCCUAUUUACCUUAAGAUUAAAACCAUGCUAAAAAUUAAUUAAGUGUAAGGAAGUCCCAACAAAUUCUGAUUUUUAAA